rnacentral:misc_RNA from 1 species
GAUGAAGAACGUAGCGAAAUGCGAUAAGUAAUGUGAAUUGCAGAAUUCAGUGAAUCAUCGAAUCUUUGAACGCACAUUGCGCCCGCCAGUAUUCUGGCGGGCAUGCCUGUUCGAGCGUCUUUCAACCAUCAAGCCCCCCGGCUUGUGUUGGGGACCUGCGGCUGCCGCAGGCCCUGAAAAGCAGUGGCGGGCUCGCUGUCACACCGAGCGUAGUAGAUCUCAUCUCGCUCAGGGCGUGCUGCGGGUUCCGGCCGUUAAACCACCUUCAUAACCCAAGGUUGACCUCGGAUCAGGUAGGAAGACCCGCUGAACUUAAGCAUAUCAAUAAGCGGAGGA